CGCUUCCCUGUGAACUCCCACAACUUCAUCAAAGAGGAAUGAGGGGACCAAGGGAGAGCAGCGGGGGGGAAAAAGGGAGAGAAAGAGCUCUAUUUUCCUAAUCACAUCCCCAUGGGAUUUGAGCUGCAGAGGUGUGGUUUCAGACUGGGAGAGCAGGUUUCCCUGGUUACCUGGGCGGAGUCUGGUGGCUGCCUGCUGUCACACCUAUACUGUAUUUACGAUCGUCAGGAACCCCUCUUAAGGAACAGCAGGAGCACCAGUCUUCGCCAGAUCGUUUUGCCUUCCUAGUGGUAACUUGGCCACCUCUCACCCGAGAUUGAUUUUCAAAGGAAAGAGUUUUUUGUUGCAUUGACUUUUUUUUCGUGUUUCAGUCCCAUCCCAGCCUGCUUCGCCGGAACCUGACGGAUUCCCCGGCUUCCCCUCUCGCCCUCCGCGGCUUGGGAGAACUCCUCAAGCCAGUCGGAUCAUUACCUCUCCCUCCAGCGUGGAUUCUAUCUACCGCACCGCUCCUGCCGCCAGCUCCAGGAACACCACUCCCUUCCACCACAAUGUGCGAGAAUGACAUGUUAACCUAUUGCAUUCGACUGUCUUCCACUUUGUCUGAUGUAAGAAAACAGGUUGUAGCUGCACUUCCGAGAGAAGCAACGGGUCCACUACACCGACUGCAACCAGGUGACUUCGUGGUGGUGAAGGACUUCAGGAGGAAAAGUUGGAAAGCUAAACGGUGGCAGGGUCCAUUCCAGAUUCUCCUGGUCACCCAAACAGCGGUCAAGGUACCUGAAAGGGCGACUUGGGUCCACGCAUCCCAUUGCAAGAAGGUUCCAGAUCCAGUACCAGCAGUGGGCUCAGGCGACCCUACCUCCACAACAAGUGUCAAUCAACCGACACCACCGAUCCAGUGACCACGGACAGGCAGUUGACCGACAGACACACAGUGCAUUGUGAUCUGUGUUGACUGUCUACAACACGGGUGCCUCACAAGAAAGAAGGUUGGCAGACUCCACAUCCCAACGUGUACCUGCGGACCAACACAAGAAGAAGAACACGGCCAGGACCCCUCCACAUAGACACAGUAGUCGUUUGUGCCACGACAGUUUUUUAGGGAGUUUUUGUUCUGUGGCAGGCAAAGUUUUGUGAGCGAUGUUCAGAUGUUCAUGUUUGUGAUAUUUGAUGGAUGAACUAUUUAAGUCUCUCUGCUG
ensembl:lncRNA